GUUAAGAGAACGGUCUGGAAAGGCCGGCCAAAGAGGGUGACAGCCCCGUAUUUGAAAAUGCAAUCCUCCUUUCAGUGGCUCCUGAGUAUCGCGGGACACGUGGAACCCAGCGAGAAACUACCGGGACCAUCCGGUAAGGCUAAAUACUCUCUUGCGACCGAUAGUGAACUAGUACCGUGAGGGAAAGGUGAAAAGAACCCCUGCGAGGGGAGUGAAAUAGUACCUGAAACCGCAUGCCUACAAGCAGUGGGAGGACUAUGCCGCGCAAGCGGAAUGUCUGACCUCGUGCCUAUUGAAUAAUGAGCUGGCUAGUUAGUCUCAGUGGCAAGGUUAAGCGAAAGCGAGCCGAAGCGAAAGCGAGUCUGAAUAGGGCGCUGAGUCGCUGGGAUUAGACGCGAAGCGGGAUGAUCUAUCCUUGGCCAGGAUGAAGGCCGUGUAACAGC
rnacentral:rRNA from 1 species